GAAGAUUUAAUGGUUAUUAAAGCGAAAACAAACUGUAUAGAAGUGAUGCAAGUUGAUCAAGAUCAGUCAGUUAUUCUGACAGACAUUACUUUGGAUUUGGAUUCCUACUUAAGUGUACCAAGUAGGCUUUCACUGCCAUAAUUUGAAUUGAAGAGUAUCCGCCAAUGUACUCCACAAGUAAAUAGUGUUCUAAAUUAUUAUCAAAAAUACAAACAAUUGAACUCGCAAAAAAGAAGCAUCAUUGUUGAUGUUUUGGUGAAAUAUCACUACACAUUUAUUGUUAACAACAACAUCAAACCAGAAGAAUUCAAUUUGCUAGCUGCAAAAAUUGUUUCACUUUUCCCAACUGAAAGUAUAUAUACCUACUAUAUGAAAGCUGUGCCAACAUGCAAAUCUGCUUCAAGAAAAUAUGUGCCCGCUAAAGGCAAAUUAGUGGACAAGGUUCGAAAUCUCCUGUACAUAUCAGGAGAAAAGUGCAGGGGCUUAAACCCACUUGCUCUAAUAGGGAUUCGGAUACAGAUGUAGAGUCUGUGGAAAAUAAUCAAGGGACUGCUUCAAAUGACGACGCUAUUUGGCUGAAAUAUAACAAUGAGCUAUGAGACCAAGUUUGUGAAAGGUGGAAUAACACCUUUGAAUUAAGACACAAACAAAAAUUUGAAACUGUACAUGAUUUUCUUGAAACCUGGGCCAUUUGAAAAGACAGCAAAGUAGAUACUCUGCAAUGACAACGACGCCAAAAAACGAGCGAAAAGAAAAAGAGCACACAAGCAGAUCACAUUCAGCCAUUAGCAUUUAGUUUGUUGGAUGACUACUUGAAAAUGUUCAAAUUCAAAUGGGAUUCAAGUUCAACCCAGGACCUUGUACUUCAUAGGCAGAGUCACUACCCACGAAGAAAGAUACAGAGGCCGUUAAAAC